rnacentral:rRNA from 1 species
GACAGAGGAUGCAAGCGUUAUCCGGAAUGAUUGGGCGUAAAGCGUGCGUAGGCGGUUCGUUAAGUCUGUUGUGAAAGCCCCGGGCUCAACCUGGGAAUGGCAAUGGAUACUGGCGAGCUAGAGUGUGUCAGAGGAUGGUGGAAUUCCCGGUGUAGCGGUGAAAUGCGUAGAGAUCGGGAGGAACAUCAGUGGCGAAGGCGGCCAUCUGGGACAACACUGCGCUGGAGGC